rnacentral:rRNA from 1 species
UACAGAGGCCUUAAGCGUUAGGCGGAAUCACUGGGCUUAAAGCGUGUGUAGGCGGACUUCUAAGUACCUUGUGAAAUCCCACGGCUUAACUGUGGAACUGCUUGGUAUACUGGUUGUCUUGAGCCACUCAGGGGCGAGCGGAACAAAUGGUGGAGCGGUGAAAUGCGUAGAUAUCAUUUGGAACGCCAAUGGUGAAAACAGCUCGCUGGGGGUGUGCUGACGCUGAGACACGAAAGCCAGGGAGCGAACGGG